rnacentral:sRNA from 1 species
AAGCUUUCAGACCAGUGAUUCGACAUCGACUCGAAGGGGGACCAACAUCUUAAAGCAAUAUGUCGUCGGUUAGGAGGGGGUCGGCGUCAUAUGUCGUGCAUUUUCACCAUCCAUGAGUGUGAGCAGCACUUAUGCUAGCAUUGUUCAUCUUCUUUUUUCACGUUUCUCUCCUUCACCCUUGAAGUUCAAGUUCUUGGGCGCGUUCUAGGACAACUGCGGCGACG